CCUGAGGGGCUCGGGGAGCGGGACAAGAGCAGCCCUCAGAGCGGGACAAGAGGAAACCUCAGAGCGGGACAGGAGCAGCCCUCAGAGCGGGACAAGAGGAAACCUCAGAGCGGGACAGGAGCAGCCCUCAGAGCGGGACAAGAGUAAACCUCAGAGCGGGACAGGAGCAGCCCUCAGAGCGGGACAGGAGGAAACCUCAGAGCGGGACAGGAGCAGCCCUCAGAACGGGACAGGAGCAGCCCUCAGAGCGGGACAGGAGCAGCCCUCAGAGCGGGACAAGAGGAAACCUCAGAGCGGGACAGGAGGAAACCUCAGAGCGGGACAGGAGCAGCCCUCAGAGAGGGACAGGAGCAGCGAUCCGCCGUCCUAAACCCGUGUUCCCGUGAGCUGCUGUCCUGGUCUGACCCCGUACUUACAGGCCCCUGCCUAAAGGUACUGAACUACAACUCCAAACGCCUGUAACAAAGUCUCUGUUUCCUUCCCUUUUUGUGAGACACUGAGAUCCAGUACCUACUGUCUUCAGCUGGCACAAAGCUUGAAAAAAAUCCUGGAAUGUUCACUUACAUGUGAACCAAAGCCAGGACUGCAUCCUUAGAAUGGGAAAGGUGAGAUCCAGGCAGGAGAACUGCAGGAGUGGAGAGCACAUGGACAAGUGACCUGGCCCAGCCAAGAGCCAUCUGAUGUUUCCCUCUCUGGGAUGUGAAAUAGAAAAUACUGGUGUACCUUUAUUGUGGAAUUUCUCAGAGCUGCC